AUUAUUGUAGCUUAACAUAAAGCAUGGCACUGAAAAUGCCAAGACGGACACUAACAAACCCCAGUAAUA
rnacentral:tRNA from 1 species